AAUAAAAAGCAACAACAAAAAAUCUGGGGAGGGGAAAGAAUAUGAUUUCCUGAGUUGCCAAAAACCUCGUCUCUACUAAAAUUACAAAAAUUAGCCGGGUGUGGUGGUGGGUUUGCAAGAGGCAGUGAAGGCAGCCAGUUCAGGCUGAAACAGGCUUCACAGACUUACACAACUGGCAGAGAGGUUAGCAAGUAGAAAGUAUGAGUAUGCAGUAAGUAUACAGACAACUAUACAAAUGAAACUAAAACAGUUAUUAACUCCAGGAAAAACAAAAAGUUGUAAGAAAAAGGUAAUCAUAGUUUACCAAAUAUUAAUAGUGAACUGUAAAUAGCAUUCAUAAUCAUAAUAUGAACUAUAUGUUGUCCUUACCAAAAUUAAAAUAUGACUUUAUUUGAUAGAUGAGGAGAUUGGAAGUAUAUAUGAGAGAGGUUAAGAGAAAAGAGAGCAGUCAGGGGCAGUGGCUCAUGCCUGUAAUCCCAGCACUUUGGGAGGCCGAGGCGGGUGGAUCACCUGAGGUCGGGGGUUCGAGAUCAGCCUAACCAACAUGGAGAAACCCCGUCUCUACUAAAAAUACAAAAUUAGCCAGGCACGGUGGUGCAUGCCAGCAAUCCCAGCUACUCGGGAGGCUGAGGCAGGAGAAUCAGUUGAAC
rnacentral:lncRNA from 1 species